ACCUGGCUGGCUCAGUCGGUAGAGCAUGCAACUUUCGAUCUCAGGGUUGUGGGUUCAAGCCCCAUGUUGGGUA